GUAACGCAAGCCUGAACGGCUUGAUUCUUAAGAGAAUCAAUAGGCUUUGUUGUUGCGAUGUUGUGUUUGCAAACUCGGAAUUCGAGUUAGGUAGUUUCUACCAUCCUAUUUUGUGCAGUUAUCCCCUGCUACAAAAUAUACUUCCUGUAUUUAUUUUUGACCUGUCUGUCAAAUAUUUAGCACCGCCUAUAGGCGGUGUUUUUUUAU
rnacentral:other from 1 species